AUCCAGACUCCUACGGGAGGCAGCAGUGGGGGAUAUUGCACAAUGGGGGGAACCCUGAUGCAGCGACGCCGCGUGGGUGAAGGAGUGCUUCGGCAUGUAAAGCCCUAUCGGCAGGGAAGAAGCAAGACGGUACCUGACUAAGAAGCCCCGGCUAACUACGUGCCAGCAGCCGCGGUAAUACGUAGGGGGCGAGCGUUAUCCGGAUUUACUGGGUGUAAAGGGAGCGCAGGCGGUUCUGCAAGUCUGAUGUGAAAGCCCGGGGCUCAACCGCGGGACUGCAUUGGAAACUGCGGGACUGGAGUGUCGGAGGGGUAAGCGGAAUUCCUGGUGUAGCGGUGAAAUGCGUAGAUAUCAGGAGGAACACCGGUGGCGAAGGCGGCUUACUGGACGAUGACUGACGCUGAGGCUCGAAAGCGUGGGGAGCAAACAGGAUUAGAUACCCCGGUA
rnacentral:rRNA from 1 species